rnacentral:rRNA from 1 species
UACGGAGGGGGCUAGCGUUGUUCGGAAUCAUUGGGCGUAAAGGGCGCGUAGGCGGCCGAUCAAGUCGGAGGUGAAAUCCCUCGGCUCAACUGAGGAAUUGCCUUCGAUACUGUUCGGCUUGAGUCCUGGAGAGGGUAGCGGAAUUCCCGGUGUAGCGGUGAAAUGCGCAGAUAUCAGGAAGAACACCCGUGGCUAAGGCGGCUCUCUAGUACGGUACUGACGCUGAGACGCGAAAGCGUGGGGAGCGGACAGG